rnacentral:tRNA from 1 species
GGGCGAUUGGCUCAGUUGGUUAGAGCGCUGCCUUCACACGGCAGAGGUCGUGGGUUCGAGUCCCGCAUCGCCCACC